rnacentral:rRNA from 1 species
UCUUUAUUGGAGAGUUUGAUCCUGGCUCAGGACGAACGCUGGCGGCGUGCCUAAUACAUGCAAGUC